rnacentral:lncRNA from 10 species
UGCCUCCAUACAUAUCUUAAGUUUGGCCUAAAGGUUUCUCUGUACAUAGUGAGCUGUAACCUAACUUGAUGUGUAAUCAGACUGUAACUUACUCUUGUAACAAGCGGCCCGAUGUCAGCCAAUCACAGCAGCUGAACCCAGGUCAACCACAGACAACCCACGUUCAAACCAGGUCUGGCUUCUCUCCUGCACAGCCUCCCUCCUACCUGGAAAUGCUGGGGACUCAGCACCAGGUUCUGCCUUCACAGGAGAGGACAAUGAAGAUGCAACUAAUGUCUGUGUGGCACCUGAUACAAGAAGCUUGAAGGGCUUCCUCUAAAAAGAAAGCAGCACAGAAGAGGCCAUCUGCAGAGCAGCAGGUGUGUGCAUGGCUGUCAGGUCUGAAAAACUCACCCCUUCCUUGGCAAGGGGAAGAGCAUGUAGUCAUGUGAUUCACAGGACCCUUUCAUGACUACAGCAGCAUUUGUUCUGCAUCACCUUCCAGGCAGGU